ACCUAUUGUUGUAACAAUGAUAUAACAAUAGGUUAUGAUAUUGUGUAGAGUUUUGCAGUGUAGUAAAAUAAUAAAAAAUAAGUGUAGGAAAUAUUUGUGUAGAAAAUAUCUGCGUAGAGUUUUUCCGUGUAGGAAAAUGCAAUUGUGUAGAGUUUUAUGUGUACAAUAAGUAUGGUGUCCACUAUAUCAGUUUUCAACUUAUUCUAACCUCUUUCCCAUCAUGCUUCCACAGUUAACCUUUUAAGUAGUUAUUUAAAUAUUAUUACUUAAGAAACGAUUCUAAUUUUUUUUUUGUAAUUACUCUUUUUACCUUUACAUAUCUUUGCCAUGUUUUGAACCAGAAUCGUUUAGUUUUUAUUAGUUCGCUUACUUUCUACCAGAGACGAUUUUUUUUAUUUAUCUACAUAAUUUUUUUCUUUUAUUUUACAGCUAAAAUUUGGAUUGAAGAAUAACGGUACUCUCUAUGUCCUACAAAAUACAAAAUUGUAAGGUUUUCUGUCUUUGAAUAAAGCUAAUGACUAUAAUAUUAAUGAAGUGUGAUAUUUAACAUCCUAAGUAAUUAUAACUGAUUAUUGCAGUUUAGUGAAAUUUGUUAUUAUGACUGAUCAUAGUAUUACUGAACUUUGAUAAAAUUACUGUAAUAAUUGUCACAAUGUAACAAUAAAAUAAAUAAUUUCAAUUUUU